rnacentral:rRNA from 1 species
AGAGUUUGAUCCUGGCUCAGGGUAAACGCUGGCGGCGUGCCUAAAACAUGCAAGUCGCACGGACUGUCGCAAGGCAGUCAGUGGCAGACGGCUGAGUAACGCGUGGGUGACGUACCGGCUGGUGGGGAAUAACUGCCCGAAAGGGUGGCUAAUACCGCAUACGCCUGCUGAUUCAUUUUCAGCAGGGAACGCUUCGUCAGAGGCGCCGACAGAGCGGCCCGCGUCCGAUUAGCCAGUUGGUGGGGUAACGGCCUACCAAAGCGACGAUCGGUAGCUGGUCUUAGAGGAUGAUCAGCCAGACUGGGACUGAGACACGGCCCAGACUCCUACGGGAGGCAGCAGUUAGGAAUUUUGGGCAAUGGGCGCAAGCCUGACCCAGCAACGCCGCGUGGGUGACGAAGGCCUUCGGGUUGUAAAGCCCUUUUCUGAGGGAAGAUGAUGACGGUACCUCAGGAAGAAGCACCGGCUAACUACGUGCCAGCAGCCGCGGUAAUAC